rnacentral:rRNA from 1 species
GAGUUUGAUCAUGGCUCAGAACGAACGCUGGCGGCGUGGCUAAGACAUGCAAGUCGAACGAACUAUUUAAUUGAGUAAUCGAGAGAGUAGUUAGUGGCGAAAGGGUGAGGAAUAGAUAGGUAACGUACCCCGAUCACCGGGAUAGUGUCUGGAUACUUCGGUAUCCUUCCGAAAGGGGCAGUAAUACCGGAUGACGUCAUAAACUUUAAGGUUUAUGACCAAAGAUUUAUCGGAUUGGGAGCGGCCUAUCUCCUAUCAGCUAGUUGGUGAGGUAAUGGCUCACCAAGGCAGCGACGGGUAGCGGGACUGAGAGGUUGGCCCGCCACAUCGGGACUGAGACACUGCCCGGACCUCCACGGAGGGCUGCAGUAACGAAUAUUGCGCAAUGGGCGAAAGCCUGACGCAGCGACGCCGCGUGUAGGAUGAAGCCCCUCGGGGUGUAAACUACUGUCAGGGGUAAGAAAGUGCGCUUCGGCGCAUUGAUCGAACCCAGAGGAAGUCACGGCUAACUUCGUGCCAGCAGCCGCGGUAAUACGAAGGUGGCAAGCGUUGUUCGGAAUCACUGGGCUUAAAGCGUGUGUAGGCGGAAAGGUAAGCGUCAUGUGAAAUCCCCCGGCUUAACCGGGGAAUUGCGUGGCGAACGGCCUUUCUUGAGGCAGGUAGGGGUGUGUGGAACUCUUGNUGGAGCGGUGGAAUGCGUAGAUAUCAAGAGGAACGCCCGUGGAGAAAUCGGCACACUGGNNCUGAUCUGACGCUGAGACACGAAAGCGUGGGGAGCGAACGGGANUAGAUACCCCGGUAGUCCACGCCNUAAACGAUGUCUACU